rnacentral:lncRNA from 1 species
AAAUAAGACACCUGUAGGAGUAUAUUAUAGCAUGACCUAACAUUUCAAAAAUGAUAUUUAGAUUCAAGGAUUUGGGGGAAAUAGAGACCAUGGUUGUUUUGUUAACCAAAUUCCAGCCUAGUUAGAAACCACAUGUACACAGCAAAUGAAGAAGUGGCUUAAUGACUAACGGAUGGUGCUAACAUCUCCUCCGUUCAUCACCAGACCCACACUGGUCUUUCUCACAGGUCCUAUUAUGCAAAUCACUAAAACUGUCUUUUUUUUUCUUCUUAUGGCAGGACAAGAGAAGCUGAUUCUCUCCUGACUAACUCCUGACUCCUAGCCCCUAAGUAAGGCACACAGACAUGACUUUCACUUGGGACGUGCCCAUCCUGUGGACAAGCAGACAGGCCAUUCGUCUAGACACAUGUGGAGACUUGAGAACGAAAACUGGGCAUUUUUUCCCUCUCCCCACUUUCUCCCCUGGACCCUCGCCAAAUCUACGCAAGCAAGCAAGCAAGCAAGCGGCUGGGCUGGGCGGCAGGAGGCUCGGUGCACGAUGGUUCCAGCUCUUAAUCGGGGAUGGCACACAUCUUCACACUGGCCCUGUGCAGCUGAACUUUCGCCCUAGUUGGUUUAAAUCCAGCAAACAGCCGUGAUUUGUUCUAAUUUAUCAUUCCGGACUGCGCUGUGAGGUUUGUGUCAUUACUCUUCCUUUUUAAUGUCAUAUAUUUUGAACUGAUUGACUUCUCCAAAAACUUAUGGUUAUUAUUUAAGAGAAAAGAACUGAGAGAAAGUUUUCUUGCACUUGGAUGAGAAGAGGCGGGGAACUGUCCGCACCUUUGUCUAUCUGAAUGGGGUAUUGGGAGGCAGGUGGAGGCAACAGCUUCCUUCUUUGUCUUUCAAAAAGUAAAAUUUAGGGGCACCUGGGUGGGUCAGUUCUUAAGCAUCUGCGUUCAGCUCAGGUCAUGAUCCUGAGGUCCUGGGAUCGAGCCCCACAUCCAGCUCCCCUCUCCCACUUCCAUCGGCUUGUAUUCCUUCUCUCCUUGUCUCUUUCUCUGUCAAAUAAAUAAAUAAAUAAAAUCUUAAAAAACAAAAAAGCCCCUGAAAUUUAUUUGUAUUACAACUUUAGGGAGUCAGAGGAAUACCAAAC